GGAAGUAAAAGUCGUAACAAGGUCUCCGUUGGUGAACCAGCGGAGGGAUCAUUACAGAGUUAUCAAAACUCCCAAACCCAUGUGAACAUACCUCGCGUUGCCUCGGCAGGUGGCGUCUCGCCCCGUAAGAACCUACCCUGUAGGACCUUACCCGGUAGACGACCCUGCCGACGGCCCCCGAAACUCUGUUUUAUAGCAUUAAACUUCUGAAAAUAUAACUAAAUAAGUUAAAACUUUCAACAACGGAUCUCUUGGUUCUGGCAUCGAUGAAGAACGCAGCGAAAUGCGAUAAGUAAUGUGAAUUGCAGAAUUCAGUGAAUCAUCGAAUCUUUGAACGCACAUUGCGCCCACUAGUAUUCUGGUGGGCAUGCCUGUUCGAGCGUCAUUUCAACCCUUAAGCCCCUGUUGCUUAGCGUUAGGAGCCUACCGGAACUCUCUGGUAGCUCCCCAAAGUCAGUGGCGGAGCCGGUUCGCACUCCAGACGUAGUAGCUUUUACACGUCGCCUGUAGCGCGGGCCGGUCCCCUGCCGUAAAACACCCCAAUUUUUAUAGGUUGACCUCGGAUCAGGUAGGAAUACCCGCUGAACUUAAGCAUAUCAAUAAGCGGAGGAAAAGAAAMMAACAGGGAUUGCCCUAGUAACGGCGAGUGAAGCGGCAACAGCUCAAAUUUGAAAUCUGGCCUUCGGGUCCGAGUUGUAAUUUGCAGAGGAUGCUUUUGGCGCGGUGCCUUCCGAGUUCCCUGGAACGGGACGCCUUAGAGGGUGAGAGCCCCGUACGGUUGGACACCAAGCCUCUGUAAAGCUCCUUCGACGAGUCGAGUAGUUUGGGAAUGCUGCUCUAAAUGGGAGGUAAAUUUCUUCUAAAGCUAAAUAUUGGCCAGAGACCGAUAGCGCACAAGUAGAGUGAUCGAAAGAUGAAAAGCACUUUGAAAAGAGGGUUAAACAGCACGUGAAAUUGUUGAAAGGGAAGCGUUUGCGACCAGACCUUCUCCUGGCGGAUCAUCCGGUGGUUUCCACCGGUGCACUUCGCCAGGUCGAGGCCAGCAUCGGUCUUUGUAGGGGGAUAAAAGCUCAGGGAACGUAGCUCCUCCGGAGUGUUAUAGCCCUCCGCAUAAUACCCUUACGGGGACCGAGGACCGCGCCUCGGCA
rnacentral:rRNA from 1 species